GUUGUGACGCCAGUCGCAUCGCCGGGUAGCUAUGUUCGGAAGGGAUAACCGCUGAAAGCAUCUAAGCGGGAAGCCUACCUCAAGAUAAGAUUUCCCUAGGACUUUAUGUCCUCUAAAGAGCCGUUCGAGACUAGGACGUUGAUAGGUUGGAUGUGGAAGCAUAGUGAUAUGUGAAGCUGACCAAUACUAAUUGCUCGUGAGGCUUGACUAUACAACACCCAAGCAGUUG
rnacentral:rRNA from 1 species